CCUAAUCAUUCUAUUCAUAAUAGGUGGGAUCUAGGUGGAGUAAACCUUUCCAUUUUGUUCAACAAUUUCCUGACUCAUGGUCUCCUUUUCUCCUUCAGAUGCCCACUUUGUCUUUUCUAAUUUUUCAGAGUACAUUCCUUUGAAUUCGUCAGUGGAACCUUUUCUAAUUACUCAGAGUACACUCCUUUCUCAGCACAGACAGAGCAUCACCCAGAGCAUUGUACCCAACUCAUCCUGACCCAUCUUUUUAAGACCUUGCUCCGUUUCAUUCGGUGCAGGACGUGCAUCAGUGAUACAGGAGCACCCCGAGGAGCCCAGCGCUGCCGUGGUAUUUCAGGAACAGUGGCUUAAACCGGCGCCGUUUUCACAGGAGGCUGUUCCCAGGGGUUGUCAGAGCCCUGCGAUUCAAAACCACCCGUCUCGUCGGGCUGAGGGACGAGGUCCCGCAGCGUAAGCGAUGAACUGGCACAUGCAGAGGGUCCGGAUGGUGCGGGUGAGCCUGGGCUGGGGAGAAGGGGCUGCUGGGUGGUUCGCAGUCACACCAGCGCUUGCAGGAGGGCGCAGGCAGCGUUAGCAAAGUCAAUGAAUGAAAAUGGUGUCAAAUUUGUGAGUUUUUUAGAUCCGUGACAACAAAGAAGCCUGAAGAGUUGUGUGCAGGACAGGGGAACUGCUUUUAGGUUGAUGUACAGCUAAUUCAAGAAGUUCUGGAAUUCAGUGCUUCUUAAUUAGGUGCAGGCUGGGUCAGCAGCUGGGGCCCUCCACCGCCGUACCUGGCCAGGCUCACUCCCAGGGCAAGCGCCGGCGUCGCUCCCACCUUCCUCUGCUGUGUGCCGGUCACGCUGCUGCUCCGGGUGCAGGAACAGAGGUGAAGAAACAAACACAGGUAACGUCUACGCAGCUUUAUUUUGUGCAUCUUUUCAGGAUCUUGCUUUCCUCCCAAGUGGCAGGGUACUCAGCUUUAUUUCCUUUAUGGAUGAGCAAGAUCUGUCCGUGCAGGGGCGAACGCUGCCUCCGACCGUGACCGGAGGGCUCUGCAGCUUCUCCAGCCGGGUUCCCGGCUUUCCCAAGUAGCAAAUGUUGCAGCCAAGCAGCAAGUGCAAUGGCUUGACCAUGGGCCACUGGGCUCCUGUGCCCUGUGGUACAACGAUUUCUUUCUUGUCAUCAUUCCCUUGCUCUAAGGGCUGUGAAAGAGCUGGCCAUACGGAUCACCUGCUUUGGUUACUGCCUUACUGGAAAGGGCAAAGUUAAUUCCUGGUGUAUUUAGGUGGCCUCAGAAGCUGCUGGGGUCUCACCUCCCGGGGGGUGCCGUGCGGGUGGCUUCUCCUGACGCUGUGAGGUUGCAUCAAUCCGGUAACAGCAGCGUGGUGAAGGGAAGACCCUUCGUUUUGAAUUUAGCACUGCAGCUGCCCGCUGGAGCCUCCGUGGUGAGCAGAGGACCUUUUCCAAGGCUCUGCUUGGUACUAAAGUGCUGAGGGAAGAGUUCUCCUGCAUGGGUUCACACUGAAGUGCAGGGGUUUGGGAAUGCUGAUGUCUGGGGGCCGCCUCUGCCUGCAGCUCCUCUCCAAUGCUUUAGAGACUGAAGAGCACUCGGUGGAGUAAAGUCCACUUAAACUGAGAUCUUAAACUGAGAUCUGUCAGUGGCCAGUGUUGCCUGUCUUAGAGGAAAGCAUGAAAAAUGUCUCAGUAAAUAGGCUUAAAGGAGGGUUUUCACUUGAUCCUUCACCAGAAGAGGCUGAACUUGGUUCUGCUGGGGAGGAGCCCAUGGUUCCCUCGCAGGUACCACACGCACUCUGCACAGCCUGCUCACGAGGCAGGAAUUAGCUGGAGGGUUUGUUUUCGAAGCUCUGAGGUCUGCUUGUACGUGGCUGACUGCUUUCUGGGUGUCUUCACCAAGGUGAAUUAAAUCUUUUUUCCUUUUCAAAGUGUUUUGGUGUUUGUCUUCAGAGGCAGAGAGUGCUGUGGCUGUUACAUGGAGUAUGUUACUGGCUUGCCCCUGUAAAAGCUCCUGGGGUAUUACUAGAUUUCUCUGUGUGUUAGUGUGUGAAAGAGAGACAGAGCGCAUUUAUAUUUUUUAUAAAACUGGGAUAGAGGUGUGCAGCUGAAGCCUGGGCUUGAAGGAGAUUCCCGCUGAAGCUGGUGACACAGCUGGGGCAGAGCUUCAUUCCUGCUAACCGGUGGGAAGCCAAAGCUGGGCUGGAGUAAGGCUGAUUUUUCAAGCAGCCCUGUCAGCCCUGUUCAGGCACCGAAUUCAGCUUCUUGGAAAACCGCAGCCUGAGUGUUACACAGAGAGUCCAGGAGCAAAGGUAAGAAAAAACCUUUGGGUUCCUUGUUCAGCUUUAUUACAAAACGUUAAGCGCUCUGCUACUGAGGGAGGGGAACCUGUGUGUGCUCUGAGGGUCAGACCUGGUUUACUUCCUACGGGUACUGCAAAAUGCAAGGAAAGGGAGCUUUGAAGAAGCUUUCACAGUUUCCUGAAGAAGAAAGUGUUUUUGAAAGCAGGUUGUUGGGGCUAAACACUCAUGUUUUGCAAGUAAACCCAGGUUUGUGAUCUGCAGUAGCCUUGAGGAUGAUUAACCAAGCUGUGCUUGACUUUCCUCCUACUUGGAGAAGAGGGAACUCCCUAACCCCCAACAACUGCAAAGGUGCUGUUAACUCUUUCAAAUAAUCCUUAGCAAUCCACACACAAACCAGAAAAGAAUAAAAACGGCUCAGGAAAAGUGAGAGCCGGCUGUUCGGCGGUGGGCGGCGAGGUAAGGAAAGGGCACGCGUGGAAGCUGUGAUUGGAAAUCGCCACUGCAGAGGAGCUUGCUGCGAAGGCAGAACGCAGCUCAGCCCGGAGAGCCGCAGCCUGCUCGCUGCUGAGCCUCAGCACUUGUCUCCUCUCUCUGGUCAAGUGCCUGUUUUUUCAUCACACGAUUGACUCCGUGGCUGUUUUGUUCAGGCUGAAAGACGGGAGCGCUUGCUGGAGGAGGCAGUCAAUGCGGAGGUCCUGGGGCCUUGAAAAGGCGAGGAUUAAUAGGUUUGCUGCCUUUGAGCCGUGCACCCAAGUCAGCACUGAAUAAAGGCUUUCGCUGGCAGCCGGGCGGCCACGCCGGGGCUGCCGAUCCCCUUGGGUUGCCUGGCUGGGGCGCAGGCUCGGGGUCCCCGGCGUGCCAGGAGCUGGCAGGGCCGCCCGGGCUGCCCCCGGCUCGGGGUGCAGGGCAGGCUGCCCAGGCGUGACCCCCGGGCUCCUGCAAGGCCAAGGGCCGCGUCACCCGCGGUCCCCGUGCAGAGCAGCGGCUGUGGGUGAGCUCGGGGGCGCCCCAAAUUCCUGCCCUGCCUGCGCUUGCUGGGGGUCAGCCGGGAGCCCUGCGGCGGGGGGGCUGCGCUGCUCUGCGUACCCCUCUCUGCCUCGGCUCACUUCACGCCUUCAGUUUGCACGGCUCUUUCCGCGGGCUCUGAGGGAUAACGCGGCCUGUGGCGGAGGCACGCGCGGGCGUACGUGGCACCGGCUGGUUUAUGAGCUCCGGCAAAAAAUAAAGCAAACCUGUGGGCAUACCCGCCUGUGUUUCACGUCUCGGGGGGGGGGGGAUUCUUUGGCAUUUAAAAGCAGCAAGAGCACCUGAGCCUGGCAUCUGGGAGCAAGGUACGGACGAUCACCUGGUUUGUAAUCUCUGCCCCGUCACCGGAUUUAUUAAUAACACUGCCUUUAGUUAGCAGACCGGUGGAUAUUCGGUUGCCCUCUGAUCAGCCUGCCUUCCCCCCUCAGGCUUUUCCUGCUCUUCUUCCACCACCCCGCAUCAUCAUCCUUUUUCUGUCGAUUUUCCAACAAUGCCUAAUUCUAUUAUUCGGAAUGAUUUCCCACCGGGCGGUAGUUUAUUUCUGUCAUCAAAUCUCAGAUGAAAUCUUUAGACAUGAAAUAUUUAGCCCGAUACCAACAAAUCGCACAUAGUGUUAACGUGUCACAAGCUGCCUGGAGACAGCAUUAGGCUGUAAUUUGAAAGUGAGUGAAGCGAUAAUGCCAUGCGCGCUGCUUUUGUGAGCGUGCAUUAAUGCAUCUCUUGCCAGGGCUGGUCAUUGACAGCAAAUCGACUCCCACUAAUAGUAUGUGGGAAGGUGGCAAAAUUGGGGGUGAUGCAGAAGAUAAAGCAUAUUGACCAGCCAACUGCAGUGCCUCAGUAGCCUUUAAUCUAUUAUUGCCCUUGAUGGGGAUAUUUUAAUGCAACUUUACUGUCAAUCGCAUUUAUGGUCGCACACUCUGCCUGCUGGGGAGCACUGUGAAAAUGGCAGAACUCGGAUCAUGCUGUUGCUUAGAGCUCAUAGUUAUCGAUUGUAGCCAGGCUCAGGAGUCUGGGUUAUAAUUAUUUCAUUAAACCAUUUAAUGGUUAUCAAAUAUGAAUCCUUCUACCAUUCCAUUUAGGAAAUGUAGAGAGCUUGAAGUUUUAUUGCUAAUCCAUGUCGAUCUUAUUUUUCUUAAAUUGGCCGAUGCUCCCGAGUGGUCGCUGUUCCCUGCCGAAGCUCUGCCCAUUGAUCCCGGGGUCGCCGCUCACAGUGCCGCUGGCCUCUCACGUGGCGCAGCGACACGGCGUUACGUGCGAGUGACCCUGCAUUACCGACCGUCCCAAAUAACAACUGCACACCCCGUCCCCUCUCUGAGCUGCUUUUGCUGCGUGGAGUCACUCCCAGGCUGCCGUGGUGGAGAAGACACUCUGCCUCUUCCCUUAUGGAAGGUAUUUCGUGCCUCAGUUUCCCAUUUGAUCAGUGGAGUUACUCGAUUUUUUUCAGUUAUUUGGGGUUUAGAGAUGGAAAGGGCUCCUUACUAUGACCAAAAUCCUCCCUUUGUGCGAAGGCAGGCUGUUCAUGCCUGUUGAGGAGGGAGGAAACUCCCCUUCCGAAGGGUUCUUGAGGGUUUUUCGAGAAUAAAAACAAUUACGUUUUACUCGUAUAGUCAGUCUGACUGCAUCCCACUUGGUCCCAAGUGUUUGAGGCAGCCUUAGGAGCUUGGCAGGCAAACAGCCUGCUGCUGCGUCUGACGCUGAGCGUUCGCCUGCCUCCCCAGGUGUGUUACCCUGGCAGGGUGCUGGUGUGGCAGGAUUGCCUGGGGGCAUGGCAGGAACGAGGUGAUCUGGGGGGGCUGCGCUUGACCCCUGAACCUCUAGAGGUGGAAGAGCUGUUCCCAGCACUGCCAGGUGCUGUCUCGGUGGGCUUUGGCAUUAUUCUUUCUAUUAAAGUGGGCCGAGUGCUCCAAAUUCCUCUUCAUUUCACUUUUCCUCCUUGUGAGGGGCAGAUUAAGCCAGGGUUUAAUUCCAGAGCCUGGAAAGCCCCACAGGAAGGACAGAAAUCCCAGGGGCUCUCUCAUCAGCGGCCCUGGGGCGUACUCCUGCCCUCUCUCCCACCCCAGCGCUUCCAGAAGUCACACAGACCUCGUGGUUACAACGUGGAUAAGGCUGGAUGAACCCGGGUUGAGGAGGGUAGGGAGGCUUUGAGGAAGCAUCUCGGUAUGCAUUUGUAUUCCAGCUCCGCUGAAAGCCUGUAUUCAUUGGCAUCUUUUCAUUAAACCCCUGGAUGCUCUGGAAAAGCUGUACCUUAAUUUGAACAGAUUCCUUUUUACUGUGGCCAGGCAAUAGAGUUUCUGCAGAGUCCUUUAUCAGUAUUCUGUGCUGCCUUCUGGCAGCUGCUCAUUUUAUGUUGCCUCAACCCGUGCUGACCUCAUUUUCUAUCACAGAGCAGUGAAGGAUUUGGUAAAAAUUAGUUAUAUUAGUAGCUCCCGAUACAGCCAGUUUAUUUGUGAUAUGACAAAUAUUUCAGCCAUUAGGAUCUUUCCAUCUCUUAGCAGCUUAAAUGCACUCACUUAUAUUCCAAAUCACUGCUUAAUUUAAAAGCCCUAUUUGUCUAGAUUGUUGCAGGCAUGGAAAAAGAUGCGGAACACUUACCCUUUCCAAUCGGCCGGCAGCACACCCGGAGUUGUGCCAGUGAUUGGAUCUCUCGCUCCAUAACUUUACACUCGGCGAAGCCACCGCUAAUCACUUAGUGCACGGCAGAAGCACAUCAAUCCCGCGGAGGAAGGGCGGGCGCGAUGCCCAGGAUGUGGAGGCUGGGUUGCUGCCUCCUCCCCGCCAUGCAGUGAUUCACCGGCCGUGCCUCAGUUUCCCCACCUGCUCUGCUGGGACGUGGAAGGAAUUUUCUGGCUUUCCAGAGCCGCAGAGUUGCCCGGCAGGCUGGGAAUGUGAUGUGGGCAAAGCAGCGAGUGGCUGCAGGGUUAGGGGAGGGCAGGAGGGCCACGAAGCCGCCCCGACAGGCAGCAGGUGAGGGCGGGUUUGAUAGGAGGGGGGCUUUCCUCUGUCCUGUGACCCCAACUUUACUUCUGUAAAGUAAACAAACUCAGGGCAAUGCCUAACGUCUUUUCUCUUUUCUUAAUCCUACAUUAUUUUCACCAUCCAGGGAGGGAGGGAAGGCUGGAACCGCAGGGAAGAUGCUGGGAUGCCCCAUCCCUGGUGCUGUGCCUCCUUGAACUCCUCCCAGCAUUCAGCCAGGCCAUUUCUCCAGGCUUUUCCCCCCCCCCCCGCAGCCCUGCACGCUUCUUUUAGAGACUUGCACGUUUUUAUUUGUUCGAGGGAACGUGGGGAUGUUACUCCAGGGCUGCUUUAAGGAAGGCUCUUGCAAAGAGCACAGUAAAACCCCAGCAGCUGCUGACGCCCGCUGUGCGGAGGUGGCCAGGGCUGCUGGGCAAGCUGGGCUGCCCUGGCUCUCUCCCUCUGUGUGUUCCCCUGGGGAACUUCUCGGUUCCUCUCGGAUGUUCUUCUUCCACCCAAAGCUGGGCAGCAAACGCACGCUCCCCCCUCCUGCCCUGGGUCUCUGCCUGGCCAGCAAAGGUCGUUACAGGGCCAGAGUUUUCUCUGCCAGCUGCUUUCCGCAGCUACGGGAGGAGUUUUCCGUCUGUGCACCGCAUCGGCUUCUCCACGGAGCAGCCUCCAGCUCCAGCCCUGGCUCCUCUGCUCCUGCUCUAAUGGACCUGUUGAGAUUCACGGGCGGCAGUUGUUUCAAGCCAGCAAAAGGCAGCACCGCCGAAGAUGUAGUUGUUUUUACCGUGGGGGUGAGCUUUUGUUGCAGUGGCUGCGAAGGUACCCACGGGUGGGCUGUGUGACGUGGCUGCUGCCUUCCCCGCCACCACUGACCCUCCCGGUGGUCAGCGAUCCGUCCUCCCGAGCCUCCUCCCCGGGGGGUAGCUGGUGUUUCUGGCUCACACCUCGCAGCUUCGCAGGGCAGAGGGUUUGAUGGAGCACAGAGCGAGGGAAAGCGAAGGAAUUUGCCGGCUCUGAAAGGCCAUUGCUAAUUGUCAUUUGCUUUGGAGGGAAGGGGGUUUGCUGGUGGCGUUGGUCCCUCGGGCUCGCAGGCAUCGCCUGCUGCUGGUAACUCUGCAGAGCAUCCUUUAUGGUUGUGAAGAAGGAAAGGAAUUUAGGAGUAAAAUGCCACUCCCAUGCAAUUCGUGCUUUUGAUUGUGUCAGCUGGGAUGCUUGACAUCCUUUAUAAAGGUAAAUUAUGUCUAAAAAUAUAUACUGUUUUGUAGCAGGUUAUGGCAGCGGGUUCUGGCUAGAAAUAAUUAUCUGAAGCUAACUCAGUCUUGAUAAAUUCUCCUGAACCUUUCACAGUUAUGGAGUUAUGACGGAGAUGUAGUUAAUUGCUAGAAAAAAGCCUCGCAAAACCAGAGCAAACUGUAAUUCUUGCUUAGUUUCACCAUUCAACUUGCAAGACUCUAGGAGUUCAAAUGCUGAUGGAAGUGUAUCGAUUUUCCCCUAUAUUGAAUGCUUCCAAAAAAAAAAUCUCAACAAAAAAACCCAACCCACCUCCCGUGAUGCAAGUCCCAUGGUUCCAAUUAAAAUCACCUGUUAACUUAAAAAGGUCUCUUUUUAAAAAGGGUUUAAAAGAUUUUCAUUUAAUUGAUUCAAUGUAAAAUGCCCUUUACAAUUACCACUAUAAACUACUUGUUUCCCACUGAGUAAGACCCAAUUUGAGAUGUUUAUCAAGACUUCGCACUCUUUCCACUCUUCAUACUGAGUUCUUAAAUUCCUUAUUGACAGCUUGCAUCUGUCAGCACUGGAUAUUUUUAGUUUGUUGCAAGAAAGCUUUUAAAAGGUUGUAAUGGCUUGAUUUUGUCUCUGUGGUCUGAAGCGAUAAAUCAGCUCUGAAUGGCCUCGUAAGUGUGGGCAGCGCUGGGUGCCCUUUCUUGCAGAACAGUAAAAUGACAUGAUUUAACAAUUUCUUCUUUCCUUCCUCAGAGUAUUUCCACCGUGGCGGUGGUGUUCGGUGCAAAGAUCACACCCCUUGUCAUUCUUUAUUUUUUUGGGGGGUGCUUGACAUUAAACUUCGGCACGACUAAUAACCAUUGACUGGUUCAUGCCCGAGUCUCUGCGGCG